rnacentral:rRNA from 1 species
UCCUACGGGGGGCAGCAGUGAGGAAUAUUGGUCAAUGGGCGGGAGCCUGAACCAGCCAAGUCGCGUGAGGGAAGACGGUCCUAUGGAUUGUAAACCUCUUUAGGCGGGGAGCAAUGCCGGGCACGCGUGCCCGGAGGGAGAGUACCCGCAGAAUAAGCAUCGGCUAACUCCGUGCCAGCAGCCGCGGUAAUACGGAAGGUCCGGGCGUUAUCCGGAUUUAUUGGGUUUAAAGGGAGCGUAGGCCGGCUUUUAAGUCAGCUGUGCAAGUCCGCGGCUCAACCGUGGAAUUGCAGUUUCAACUGGAG